rnacentral:lncRNA from 1 species
GACUAAAGCUAGGUAAUACAAUUCAGAUGAUGGGAACAGAGAAUAAACCUAAACUAUCAAGAUUGUCGCCAAUGAAAAUGCAGAUAAGCAAAGGUAGAUUCAGAUUUUACUAACUUUCUUUUUGGUAUUUUUGUAAUACUUGAGAAAUUAAGAUACUAACACGGGCUAACAUCAAUGACAAGAGAAGUAAAAAGGACAUGAACAUAACACACACAUAUGUGUAUAUAUCACAAGAACAAUAAAUUGGACAUUAAUCAUCAGCAAGUACAGAAUAUAUAAAACAUAUAUAGCUAGAUCUCAUACAUUCGAAAUGAGGGACACAAUGUAACCGUACAAACUCUCACUGGUCAACAAAAUAAGUAAGAACCACACAUGUCUUCGGACUGAACAAAUACACAUACACACACAAAUACUAGCAGAAUACUAAUUGAUAGAACCAAAAUAUAAUAGAUCAAGUAUCUCCUAAAGUAACAAAGCCUCAACUACUCAGAUCUCAGAUCACAUGCACUAUAUUAUACAAGUACUAAACAGAGCAAACAGCAGUUUACGUGUACUCUUCAAAUCUGAACCUUACAAGUCUUAAACAUCUCUCAAUACUACAGAAAUUUCAGAGAGAGAGAGAGAGGGAGAAGGCAACAGUAGGAGGUUGAGAGAGAAGAAGCAGCAGCAGGGGGGCGUUGAGAAGAGGGAGGAGGAGCAGCGGGGCAAAGGAAGAUGGAGUAGCAGCAACGACUUGGAGUUGGGAGAUGGAGAAAGAGCAGAACAGCAGCGUGGUAGGAGAAAGUAGAAGAGCAGCAGCAGUAGGGAUUCAGAGAGGGGCGAGCUUGGAGAAUGAUAACAGCAGGGAGAUGCAACGGAGAGGCGUGGGGAAGAACUAGGAGUAGCAGCUAGAGGCGAGGGAAGAAGAGAAAUAGUAGCAGCAAGGGGAAGAAGAAGGAACAACAGUGUGGUGAGGGGAAAGGGCUUCAGCAAGAAGAGCAGCCGGGGCGCAUAGGAAGAAGGAGCAGCAGCAGGUUGCGUGGAAGAAGAGAAGGCAGCAGCAGGAGGUCGAGAGGAAGAAGGAGGGGUGCGUGAGGUGGGCGCUGGUGGCGGCGCUGGUGGAGGCGUGUGGACGAUGGAUGGUGGUGCUGGUGGUGCGUGGUGGAGUGGUGGCAGGAGGCGAUGGUGGUGCUGGUGAAUGGAUGGCGCGGAGGCGCACCACCACGCCGGCCUGGCCGUGGCGGCGGCCGGAGUUGGAGAAGGAAGGGUGAGGGAGAGAGAGAUGUGCCAGGCCCAAAAGGGGAUCGGGGCUGCCUACGGAUUUUGACCCCUCCCGAUCAGAUCUGCCCAUAUUGCACUUUUGCCCUUCUCUUCUCUUCUUUUGGCUCAAGUAGAUCCCUCUCCUCUUUAGCUAGCCCCUCAGGUUACUUCUUAUCAUCACACAUAAGUCCAUUCUUCCUUCUCUUCUUUUCACUUGACUAAUUCUCUUAGCCACCUAGUCCAGAUCUUGGAAGUUUAUAGUGCCUUUGCGCACAUUUCUGCAAAAUAGACCAAAGACUAGUAAAUGAUACUUUAUAUGAUUUUCAUGCAAAUAUUCAAUAUUUCACAGCAAGAAUUGAUGGUCAUAUCUCAAUAAAUAAUAUAUUUCUAUGCCAAAAUUGUAUAUAUGAAAUGUGCUUAUCAAGUUCCUCCACACUUAAACUUUUGCUUGUCCUCAAGCAAAGGCAUAUGACAAGAGCAAGAAUGUGAACAGUGAGCUGACUAGAGAAUACCAAGUGAAGUAGAUCUCUAAACACUGCAUGCUUUGGACUUAGCUAGUGAAAAUUAAUGGUUAGGAGUUCUUCAAAGCGGUAGGAUACUAGUAAGCAUGACCAUUUUAAACUUUUACAAUGAUAAAAGAGGAUCAACAAGUUUAAAUGAUGACUGCGCCAAAUGGUUCCUAAAGAGAGCAUGAUCCCAAGAACAAAAAGAACUGGAAUUAAAUCUCUUAUUUGCAGAAAUAUGACUUUGUGGUUGAACCACUUAUUGAAUUUGAAAGAAACACACAUAUUAUUUUAUUAGUCUCACCGAAGGAACAUACCACCGAUCCCGAGAACAUGGUAUACACCUGGCUCCACCAAUUUUUAUUAUUUUUUUGUUUGUCUCCCCAAAGGAACAUACCACCGAUCCCGAGAACAUGGUAUACACCUGGUUCGACAAUUACAUUUUUAUUAUAAUUUACUCCUAUCCGAUCCAACCAGAUUUCACAAGCCACCGAUCCAGGGAACAUGACAUGCUACUGUUAGGUAGAUCAGAUAAUUAUUCAUUAUAAGAUAAUACUUUUUUUAAAUGAACAACGCAUAAGCACAAAAAAAGGAAUCAUCACUUCUCCAUGUCUGGUUCACAUGCUACCGAUCUAGGGAACAUAGCAUGCUAAUCCAUAGUGGUUAGGUGAUUGCUCUCAAAGGGAACACACUUGGCACAAAUUCAGCAUCUAAACAUGGUGAUCUAGGUGUAUCGAGGUAAAAGCAGAAAAUGAUUAAGUUUUCUAGUGUACUAGGGAUUUGAGCACUCAAAACUAAUAACUUUCAAUAAUUUCAGCAAAGCAAGCAAUAUGUAGAUCACUAGUUUACAUGGCAUUCAACAAUCAGUUCGCAUAUUCUCAUCAAGCACCAUAUGUCAAAUAAAAUUCAGUGAGGCAACAUUUAAGACAUGGCUUAAGCAACCCAAAUAACAUUUGAUUUCAGCAUGUAUCAAUGGAUGAUAUACUCAGAAUGGGUCAUGAAACAGCUCACCGGGCACUAUGAAGUAGCACUCGCUUGAUCACUCUCUAAGCUGCAGCUCCUCUCCUUUUGCUUCUCUAUCCUCAUGCCUGCUCCAGCUUCUCCCUUCCUUGUGUGUUCCUUGCUUCUCCUCAUCCCCAUGCCAUAGGUCCACCGGGGUCCCAGGGAAUGUCAUCUCGAACUUGGUCAGCAUGUAGUGGAUCGUGCACAAGCAACAGCCUGAAAGAGCACUCAACCAAAGAGACAAUGCAAGUGGUAGGGAUAAUACCCUCCAAGUCAUCAAUCGGAUAUCCAAUUACAUAAGCAUAGCUAUAAAGCACAUGUUUAGGAUGGUAGAAAUCAGCAAGGUCAACACUAACAUGAGGAUGAUAUUUAUCAUUAAGCUCAAGACUAGCAUGGGAAUGAUAUGUUUCAUUAAGCAUAGGACUAGCACGAGGAAAGUAACUAUGAUCAUCACAAAUGAGAGUAAUGCCACUAACAGGGUAUAUAUCAUCAUAUCCAAGCAAAUGAGUUUUCAAAUCAAUCUUAAGUGAUGGUAUCAUGUAAUGCAAGGUAGUAGCAAAGAAAUCACAAGGCAUCAUGUCAUCAAGAGGAUUGGGUAAACCUGACACAUCACGCUCAUGUAUGACAAUAGGCCAAUGAAUCUUAGGUUCUUCAUCUUCAUCUACAGCAGCUUCUUGUACUUCUUCAGGAGUAGUAGAUGAUGAGUCUUCAACUUGAUCACAUGGAAAUUGCAGCUCUUGAUCAUCUUGUUCCUUGUCUUCUAGUUCAUCUUCAAUCUGAGGUCUCUCUUCCUCUGGACUCUUGCUAUCUUGCUCAGCUGGAUGUGACGGUGUUGGAACCUCACAUGUAUCAAAGGAUAUCCCAGAAAUACUCAGCUCUAGCUGUGAAGAAAUAGUGCUGCCAGCAUUGAUGUUCUUCUCAAUCUUCCUUACUUCUUCCACUAGUUCCUUUCCACUCUUGAUCUUCUUCAUUUCAUCUAGUAUCACCGGCCUAAUUGGAUCAUCUUCAGCACUCCAAGUGAACUCGAGACUAAGCAAUGUGAGCUUGUCUAUGUCAUCGAACUCAUCUUGUGUGGGCACUUGCACAUGAGAUUGCUCAACAGGUGCUGGAGUUGUUGGUUGACCAAAUGGAGGACCAUUUAACUCCAUUGGACACAUCUCCUGGUAUUGAGGUAUAUGAGUAGGAGGUGAAAAAAACUGUUGUGGUGCAUGGUUGUGGCUCUCCUCUUCAUACCUAAAUCCCUGCAUAUGAUUACUAGAAGCAAACGAUGAGAUCUCAGGGUUGUUGCUCCUAUAUGACAUAUUCGGGUUUUCAGGCCACCCAUGUGAGUAAUUGUUUUGGUAUGAGCUAUGCUCUUGAGCGAAGCUCAUGCCAAAACAAUCUGGAGUGUGAGAGUAACCACGCUGACAUUCAGCGGGCGAAUGGCCCUGAAAUCCACAAAUAUGGCAUGUAGGAGCAACAUAAGGAUUGCCUCCGGAAUAAGGAUAAUAAGAACUAGGCCUAUCCUCAAAAACUACUCCUCUCUGCUGAGCUAAAUCAUCUAAUUGAUGGGAAAUCUUACUUAUCAGUUCUUGAAUACUUUCCGUGCUGUUUGCAGUGUUGCUCGCAUAAGCCUGAUGAUCUGAAUAGUAAGCCAUAACCGAGAAGAUAGUUCUAACCUGCAAAAAGGAAAAGAAAAGAACAAAAAAAAUACUAACUAGAACAGGGGUUAGUGGUUAGAGAUAUAUCACGAAUAUAUGGCACAAACUAGAAAAAGAAGAAAAACCUAGUCUAUAGCCUAACACGGUCACACGACGCUAGUCCCCGGCAACGGCGCCAAAAUGAUCAAUUGUAAUAUAGCGGGGUUUUUACGCCCCAAACUACGGAUGUCGUGUUCUCCACAGGGACUAGGCAAUCAGCGGCUACGCUCGACUAAAGCUAGGUAAUACAAUUCAGAUGAUGGGAACAGAGAAUAAACCUAAACUAUCAAGAUUGUCGCCAAUGAAAAUGCAGAUAAGCAAAGGUAGAUUCAGAUUUUACUAACUUUCUUUUUGGUAUUUUUUUAAUACUUGAGAAAUUAAGAUACUAAUACAGGCUAACAUCAAUGACAAGAGAAGUAAAAAGGACAUGAACAUAACACACACAUAUGUGUAUAUAUCACAAGAACAAUAAACUGGACAUUAAUCAUCAGCAAGUACAUAAUAUAUAAAACAUAUAUAGCUAGAUCUCAUAUAUUCGAAAUGAGGGACACAAUGUAACAGUACAAACUCUCACUGGUCAACAAAAUAAGUAAGAACCACACAUGUCUUCGGACUGAACAAAUACACAUACACACACAAAUACUAGCAGAAUACUAAUUGAUAGAACCAAAAUAUAAUAGAUCAAGUAUCUCCCAAAGUAACAAAGCCUCAACUAGUCAGAUCUCAGAUCACAUACACUAUAUUAUACAAGUACUAAACAGAGCAAACAGCAGUUUACAUGUACUCUUCAAAUCUGAACCUUACAAGUCUUAAACAUCUCUCAAUACUACAGAAAUUUCAGAGAGAGAGAGAGAGAGAGAGAGAGAGAGAAGGCAACAGCAGGAGGUUGAGAGAGAAGAAGCAGCAGCAGGGGGGUGUUGAGAAGAGGGAGGAGGAGCAGCGGGGCAAAGGAAGAUGGAGUAGCAGCAAUGACUUGGAGUUGGGAGAUGGAGAAAGAGCAGAACAGCAGCGUGGUAGGAGAAAGUAGAAGAGCAGCAGCAGUAGGGAUUCAGAGAGGGGCGAGCUUGGAGAAUGAUAGCAGCAGGGAGAUGCAACGGAGAGGCGUGGGGAAGAACUAGGAGCAGCAGCUAGAGGCGAGGGAAGAAGAGAAAUAGUAGCAGCAAGGGGAAGAAGAAGGAACAUCAGCGUGGUGAAGGGAAAGGGCUUCAGCAAGAAGAGCAGCAGGGGCGCAUAGGAAGAAGGAGCAGCAGCAGGUUGCGUGGAAGAAGAGAAGGCAGCAGCAGGAGGUCGAGAGGAAGAAGGAGGGGUGCGCGAGGUGGGCGAUGGUGGCGGCGCUGGUGGAGGCGUGUGGACGAUGGAUGGUGGUGCUGGUGGUGCGUGGUGGAGUGGUGGCAGGAGGCGAUGGUGGUGCUGGUGAAUGGAUGGCGCGGAGGCGCACCACCACGCCGGCCUAGCCAUGGCGGCGGCCGGAGUUGGAGAAGGAAGGGUGAGGGAGAGAGAGAUGUGCCAGGCCCAAAAGGGGAUCGGGGCUGCCUAGGGAUUUUGACCCCUCUCUAUCAGAUCUGCCCAUAUUGCACUUUGGCCCUUCUCUUCUCUUCUUUUGGCUCAAGUAGAUCCCUCUCCUCUUUAGCUAGCCCCUCAGGUUACUUCUUAUCAUCACACAUAAGUCCAUUCUUCCUUCUCUUCUUUUCACUUGACUAAUUCUCUUAGCCACCUAGUCCAGAUCUUGGAAGUUUAUAGUGCCUUUGCA